rnacentral:lncRNA from 10 species
AGAGAGGCUGUGAGGGUGGCUUUGUGAGGAUGGCUUUGUGUGGCUGCACAUUGCCCUUGGCCAAGCCCCGCUGCCAGGAGAGGCAGCUCGGCUGCCAAACCUCCUGAACCCAAGUUACCUGAGCAAGCAGCCCUAUCCCCUCGCCUGCUUCUCACUGCCUCGCCUGCCUUGGGCCUGCCCGACCCAGGGGGUCACAUGCCUUGUUCCCCAUCAGUGGAGACCAGGGACAAGAAGACAGUUCUGUGGGAAGAGCCAGGAGGACCAUUUGGGAAAAUACAGGUUCCAGGUGUGUCUCCAGACCUUGAGAGUUGGUGUCUCCUGGGAAGAGGCCCUGAUGAGAUCUGGGGAGAUUCGGAUCUGAUGAGAUUCAGGAAGCCCUGGCCUCUCCGUACUUGAGGAGACGGGACACACAGGACAAGCUGCAGGCUGGUGAGCAGGUUCACCUUCUAUUUUGAAGACCCGCUUCUUCCUCAGGUACCUGAUCUUGAAAACGACCUCCCCUUUCAGUUCUGGAGGCCAGAAGCCCAAAAUCAGUCUCGCUGGGCUAACGUGAAGGUGUCAGUCGGGCUGGUUCCUUCUGGAGGCUCCAGAAAAGAAUCUGUUUUCUUGCCUUUUCUGGCUCAGUUUCUCGGCUUGUGGCUCCUUCCUCCAUCUUCAAAGAGCACCACUCCAAUCUGCUCCUCCAUCAGGUCACCUUCUGCCUGACUCCUACAUCCCUUUCAGAAGGACCCUUGUGAUUCCAUGAGGUCCACCCAGAUCACGCAGGAUAAUGUCCCCGUCUCAAGAGGCUUAAUCUAAUCA